rnacentral:misc_RNA from 1 species
AUAUUAAAUUAUAAAUAUUGGUAGCAGCAGCACAGCCGUAAGAGAGUUGUUUGACAUUUUGAUUCACUGAAUUGGAUGUUGAAGAAAUGUAAUCUCAGAGCCUUCUCUGCUUCAGUUAAUGCAACGAAAUCAGAGCACAGCAAGAACCAGGAACUUUUGUUUCCUUGAUCUAGUGACAAGAUGAAACUAUUUUAGGACCCAACGCCAAGAUUUAAAUCUCAUUCAUACAAAAAUCCCUCAGCCAGUGCUAAAAUAAUCAGUUUCCUGCGCAAAGUGAGAACAGGAUGGCAGUCGACAAAUAAUCGAGUUUGCCACUUUGGGAAUAUAAUUUCUUUAAUCCUAGGUGAACCAUUUGCAGCAUGUCUCUUUGACUCACAUAAGGACAUCACGAAUUCCGGAUGACUAACCAUCCUAACAUCAAUGACAGUAGAAGAAUCAACAUUCUCCAAUUUGCCAUUUUACUUUCGACAUAGAUUACAAUUACAACAACGACAACCUUCUUCCUUUAUACUUAUAUUAGCCCUUGCUGAAUUGCAGGCUAGCACCAUUUUCUUAGCUUUAAAAUGGAAAUGGUGACAAAAAAAUUGUUAUAUUUUAGCAAGGAGAUGGUGAAGAUGCGCUUUUCGAACUACCAUUUGGUGUCCAUGCAUAAAUAAGCAAGCCCAAAACAAGGAUGAUAGCUCCUGCAACAAAUCCAGUUGGAAGGGUGGACGCAAUACCGAGAUAUGGCAGUGGCAGCGUGAACACAUAUACAGAUAUUGGCACUGAAAAUGUUGAAGCAAGGGAAGAUACAACAGCAGAAGAAAUCUUGAGGAGGUGCAGCAAUGAUAUGUUAAAACCCAUGUUGACAAGAACAAACAGCAAAGGUAGCAGAGGCGCACCGUCACAUCCACUAGAUAAACCACCAAUGUUCAGAAAACAAACUGCCCCAUCUUUAAGAUAGCUUGGAAGCUGACUAAAUGGUAUACCCCAUAAUUUCGACAUGAAAGGAAGAAGAAGACAUACAAACAAUGCUUGGAAAGCAGAUCCAUAGGAAUUUACAACAAAUAGAUCCACCGAACCUCCCUUUAGCUGCCGAGCAGUAUCCCGGAAAAUAAAUUCCUUGAGCACUGUAUCAGCUGCUUGCAAUAGAAAAGAGAAUAUCAUCAAAAGACUCCAAAAUAUGCUGGCAUCCUUCACUGAAUGAUUGGCACUAGAUCCACUUGCUACAGUUAUAAUCACGCCAAUGGCAACGAGGAAGCAUCCAAUUAGCUGAUUGACUUUAUAUCUCCUCCCAAGAAAAAUAAUUGACAAGAGAAUCUGCCAAACAAGAAAGGUCUGAGAUAAAAUUGGAAUUGAUGCUCCAGAAAGAAUUGCUGCAGCUGCCAUUCCUGCUGCAGCUCCAAGAGCCUCCAAAAGUCCUACAAGAAGAAACGGAGCUUUUGGCAGAGAAAGCAUCUCAUCCGUAACAAGUCCAGCAAGGUACCGGAUAUGCAAGAUAGUGAAGUAUACAAGGACAUAUCCGACAGUAGCGAGUUGAGCGAGAAAGAAAGGAUAAUGCUUGAGCGGAACCAAAGCCAGUUUAUACAACACCCGAUUUCCCACACCUAACACCACCGUAGCCGCCACUGCAACCGCCACCUCCAAUUUCCGAUUCUUACUCGUUGUACUACUACUCCCAAUCCUGUUUAUCU